AUACUGCGGUCAUCGCGUUCCUUUCGCCAUUUUUCCCCAAACCGAGCUCUCUGUUCCUCAUCAAAAUUCGUUGUUGUUUCUUCGCCCCACUCAAAUCCCUCGCACACACACCACCAGCAGUUAUCCCUCGACCGAUUUGAAGAGGUUCUUGACCCUACCACCGACCACCGCUGCUGCAGCGCCAUCGCCAUCUCUGUUCUAUUCGCCGUCGAGCAGAGAAGUUGGGUCGCCGCUGCUGAUCUUUAGACCUGCACUACACCAAAAAUUUGCAUUGCAGACUAAGGGAACGGGCUGGUGCUCAUCUUGCAAGCAUUAUUAGCAGUUGGUACCCUAGCUGAGAACUUGGUGAAGGCCUUGGUGAAGGUAUGAUUCUGUAGUUGCUAUCCCUUUC